rnacentral:rRNA from 1 species
CCUACGGGUGGCAGCAGUGGGGAAUAUUGCGCAAUGGGCGAAAGCCUGACGCAGCGACGCCGCGUGAGGGAUGAAGGUCUUCGGAUCGUAAACCUCUGUCAGCAGGGAAGAACGGUCACUGUGCUAAUCAGCAGUGAAUUGACGGUACCUGCAAAGGAAGCACCGGCUAACUCCGUGCCAGCAGCCGCGGUAAUACGGAGGGUGCGAGCGUUAAUCGGAAUUCCUGGGCGUAAAGCGCUCGUAGGCGGUAUGUCAAGUCAAGGGUGAAAUCCCCGCGCUCAACGGGGGAACUGCCUUUGAAAAUGGCAAACUGGAGUGUGUGAGAGGAGAGUGGAAUUCCAAGUGUAGGAGUGAAAGCCGUAGAUAUCUGGAGGAACAUCAGUGGCGAAGGCGACUAUCUGGCACAUAACUGACGCUGAGGAGCGAAAGCGUGGGUAGCAAACAGGAUUAGAGACCCCUGUAGUC